UACGGGGGGGGUAAGCGUUGUUCGGAAUUACUGGGCGUAAAGGGCUCGUAGGCGGCCAACUAAGUCAUACGUGAAAUCCCUCAGCUUAACUGGGGAACUGCGUGUGAUACUGGAUGGCUUGGAUUUGGGAGAGGGAUGCGGAAUUCCAGGUGUAGCGGUGAAAUGCGUAGAUAUCAGGAAGAACACCAACGGCGAAGGCAGCUCGCUGGGACGGUACUGACGCUGAGACGCGAAAGCGUGGGGAGCGAACAGG
rnacentral:rRNA from 1 species